rnacentral:rRNA from 1 species
AGAGUUUGAUCCUGGCUCAGGAUGAACGCUGGCGGCGUGCUUAACACAUGCAAGUCGAACGAACCUUCGGGUUAGUGGCGGACGGGUGAUUAACGCGUGGGAAUCUGCCCUCAGGAGGGGGAUAACGGCUGGAAACGGCCGCUAAUACCCCAUAUGCCGAGAGGUGAAAAGAAAUUCGCCUGAGGAUGAGCCCGCGUCUGAUUAGCUAGUUGGUGGGGUAAGAGCUCACCAAGGCGACGAUCAGUAGCUGGUCUGAGAGGAUGAUCAGCCACACUGGGACUGAGACACGGCCCAGACUCCUACGGGAGGCAGCAGUGGGGAAUUUUCCGCAAUGGGCGAAAGCCUGACGGAGCAACGCCGCGUGAGGGAUGAAGGCCUCUGGGCUGUAAACCUCUUUUCUCAAGGAAGAAGACAUGACGGUACUUGAGGAAUAAGCCACGGCUAAUUCCGUGCCAGCAGCCGCGGUAAUACGGGAGUGGCAAGCGUUAUCCGGAAUUAUUGGGCGUAAAGCGUCCGCAGGCGGCCCUGUAAGUCUGUCGUUAAAGCGUGGAGCUUAACUCCAUUUAAGCGAUGGAAACUACAGGGCUUGAGUGUGGUAGGGGCAGAGGGAAUUCCCGGUGUAGCGGUGAAAUGCGUAGAUAUCGGGAAGAACACCAGUGGCGAAGGCGCUCUGCUGGGCCAUAACUGACGCUCAUGGACGAAAGCCAGGGGAGCGAAAGGGAUUAGAUACCCCUGUAGUCCUGGCCGUAAACGAUGAACACUAGGUGUCGGGGGAAUCGACCCCCUCGGUGUCGUAGCCAACGCGUUAAGUGUUCCGCCUGGGGAGUACGCACGCAAGUGUGAAACUCAAAGGAAUUGACGGGGGCCCGCACAAGCGGUGGAGUAUGUGGCUUAAUUCGAUGCAACGCGAAGAACCUUACCAGGGUUUGACAUCCUGCGAAUCCCUUGGAAACGAGGGAGUGCCUUCGGGAGCGCAGAGACAGGUGGUGCAUGGCUGUCGUCAGCUCGUGUCGUGAGAUGUUGGGUUAAGUCCCGCAACGAGCGCAACCCACGUCUUUAGUUGCCAGCAUUCAGUUGGGCACUCUAGAGAGACCGCCGGUGAUAAACCGGAGGAAGGUGUGGAUGACGUCAAGUCAUCAUGCCCCUUACAUCCUGGGCUACACACGUACUACAAUGCUACGGACAGAGGGCAGCAAGCUCGCGAGAGUUAGCAAAUCCCAUAAACCGUGGCUCAGUUCAGAUCGUAGGCUGCAACUCGCCUACGUGAAGGAGGAAUCGCUAGUAAUCGCAGGUCAGCAUACUGCGGUGAAUACGUUCCCGGGCCUUGUACACACCGCCCGUCACACCAUGGAAGUUGGCCAUGCCCGAAGUCGUUACUCCAACCCU